UCAAGCGACUAAGUGUAUGUGGUGGAUGCCUUGGCGAUUACAGGCGAUGAAGGACGUCGCAGCCUGCGAAAAGCCGUGGGGAGCUGGCAAGCGAGCACUGAUCCACGGAUGUCCGAAUGAGGGAACUCACCCGCAAGGGUAUCUUGAAGUGAAUACAUAGCUUCAAGAGGCGAACGCAGCGAACUGAAACAUCUAAGUAGCUGCAGGAAAAGAAAUCAACCGAGAUUCUGAAAGUAGCGGCGAGCGAAAUUGGAAGAGCCUGCAAGUGAUAUUGAAUUCGAUACUGGAACGGUCUGGAAAGUCCGGCUACAGAGGGUGACAGCCCCGUACGGGAAAUUGGGUUCAAGGUACUGAGCUUGCGAGAAGUAGAGCGGGACACGUGAAAUCCUGCUCGAAGAUGGGGGGACCAUCCUCCAAGGCUAAAUACUCGUAAUCGACCGAUAGCGAACCAGUACUGUGAAGGAAAGGCGAAAAGAACCCCGGGAGGGGAGUGAAAUAGAUCCUGAAACCGCAUACAUACAAACAGUAGGAGCCCGCAAGGGUGACUGCGUACCUUUUGCAUAAUGGGUCAGCGACUUACGUUCAAUGGCAAGCUUAACCGAGUAGGGGAGGCGCAGCGAAAGCGAGUCCGAACAGGGCGACAUGAGUCGUUGGGCGUAGACCCGAAACCAGAUGAUCUAUCCAUGGCCAGGCUGAAGGUGUGGUAACACACACUGGAGGGCCGAACCGACUAGUGUUGCAAAAUUAGCGGAUGAGCUGUGGAUAGGGGUGAAAGGCUAAACAAAUCUGGAGAUAGCUGGUUCUCCCCGAAAACUAUUGAGGUAGUGCCUCGUGUAUGGCUCCAGGGGGUAGAGCACUGUUAUGGCUAGGGGGACAUGGCGUCUUACCAAACCAUGGCAAACUCCGAAUACUUGGAAGUCUGAGCACGGGAGACAGAGCACCGGGUGCUAACGUCCGGACUCAAAAGGGAAACAACCCAGACCGCCGGCUAAGGUCCCUAAUAUUGACUAAGUGGAAAACGAAGUGGGAAGGCUAAGACAGUCAGGAAGUUGGCUUAGAAGCAGCCAUCCUUCAAAGAAAGCGUAAUAGCUCACUGAUCGAGUCUUCCUGCGCGGAAGAUGUAACGGGGCUAAGUCAAUAACCGAAGCCGCGGAUUCGCAGCAAUGCGAGUGGUAGGGGAGCGUUCUGUAAGCCUGCGAAGGCGGAUCUGCGAGGACCGCUGGAGGUAUCAGAAGUGCGAAUGCUGACAUGAGUAACGUUAAAGCGGGUGAAAAGCCCGCUCGCCGCAAGCCCAAGGUUUCCUGCUCUACGUUCAUCGGAGCAGGGUGAGUCGGCCCCUAAGGUCAGGCUGAGAAGCGUAGCUGAUGGGAAGCUGGUUAAUAUUCCAGCACCGAUUUCAAGUGCGAAGGGGGGACGGAGUCCUGAAGGUCAUCCGGGUGUUGGAUAUCCCGGUUUACGAGCGUAGGAGGUUGACAGGCAAAUCCGUCAACGGAUCUCCAAGGCGAAGGAUCGAGGUUGAGAGAUCAACUGAAGUGACUGAAUGGGCUUCCAGGAAAAGCCUCUAAGCAUCAGCUUGGAAUUGACCGUACCGCAAACCGACACUGGUGGGCGAGCUGAAUAUGCUCAGGCGCUUGAGAGAACUCAGGAGAAGGAACUCGGCAAAUUGACACCGUAACUUCGGGAUAAGGUGUGCCUUUGUAGUGUGAAGGGAGAAACACCCCGAGCAUGAAGAGGCCUCAGAGAAUCGGUGGCUGCAACUGUUUACUAAAAACACAGCACUCUGCAAAGAUGAAAGUCGACGUAUAGGGUGUGAUGCCUGCCCGGUGCUGGAAGAUUAAUUGAUGGGGUGCAAGCUCCUGAUCGAAGUCCCAGUAAACGGCGGCCGUAACUAUAACGGUCCUAAGGUAGCGAAAUUCCUUGUCGGGCAAGUUCCGACCUGCACGAAUGGCAUAAUGAUGGCCACACUGUCUCCUCCUGAGACUCAGUGAAGUUGAAAUGUUUGUGAUGAUGCAAUCUCCCCGCGGCUAGACGGAAAGACCCCAUGAACCUUUACUGCAGCUUUGCAUUGGACUUUGAACCGAUCUGUGUAGGAUAGGUGGGAGGCAGUGAAGCUAGGACGCCAGUCUUAGCGGAGCCAACCUUGAAAUACCACCCUGAUUUGUUUGAGGUUCUAACCUAGGAGCGU
rnacentral:rRNA from 1 species